CUUCCUUCCUUCCUUCCUUCCUUCCUUCCUUCCUUCCUUCCUCCCCUUGAGGAGGAGCUGUUCCAGCUCAGUUUCCCCUCAGUCUGAUCCUCUGUACUGUUUUUGGAGGAUAGGAUUUGUUGGCUGUAUGCCAGCUAUUCCUUGUGUUGAAGUCUGUGCUCUUGCAUUCAGUGGGGAUGGAACCAGAGCCUGAAUAAAUAAUUGAAUGCAGCUCAGUGAAAAGUGCUCCAUGUGGAAUUUCAGAAUUGUGAUGACACUGGAUUCAGGAAUCCCUCACUUAACAUGGGUAAAAGACUGCCUGUGCUAAAGCAGAGAGCUGAAAGAUAAGAAAUACCAGUUCCUGGGAGUGGAAUGUAGAAGAGCAUCACCCAGCAUCACUAAAGAUGAUCAACUGCUUCAUCAACAGCUUCCCUCCAGCACUGGUCAAGGAAGAAGAAUCUGCUGCUCAAAAUACUCUUUUGUCUCUCUUUUAGGAAGGAUUUUCUGCUCAUUUCUUUGACUGACUGCCACCUGUCCAUGCCUCAAGUGAGCAAAACAUCUCUGGGAACUAAAAAGUUUGUUGUGUAACAGAGCUGGGAAUAUUACACCAAAACACAGUGUUUGGAUGCUGCUUAAUCAAUAUUUCAUCUCAGAAAUACCAACAUGUUCUGUCUGACAACAAAGCAAACAAUUUUUCUGCAAGAACACUAUUUAUCUAAAUAAAAUCUAAGGCAGAAAAAGCUUAAAAGGAUUAAAUAGUCCCAAAAUGAAGAAAUCUCUUUUUAGAUUAAAUAAAGCAUUUGAGUUUCAAUAAAGGAUCCUUUAAAAUACCA